rnacentral:sRNA from 1 species
AGAAGUCAGCAGAUCCAGGCUCUGAGCCAGCUCUGUCGGGUUACUUUCUGUGUUACUGAAUGUCUCUGCUUUCCUCAGUUGAACAAAGCAAAGAUCUGUAGCCCAAGAAAGGCCACUGGGCAAUUGUAGUGGCUGUGCUAGGGCAACAGAAUGUGCUGAGGGCAGCGUGGAAGUGGUGGCCAAGGCACUAAAGACCAGCUUUCUCUUUCAUGGGAGCCUGAAAUGAACCCUCUGCCACCUCCCAUCCCCACCCAUAGAUUCCUUUCCCAUUUACAGACAGCUAGGUUGGCCUUGGCCUGGACUGGGUUUCUGUUUUGUCAAACUAACAGGUUUCUGCUGGGAGGAGGGCACUGGCAGAAGUAGCAUAACUUAUCUUUGGUUUAGGGGUGGAACUUCGGUUGUUUCUCCAGGCACGUCAUGUCUUGGCUUGGACCAUCCCUUGCUAAAGCACUGUGCUUCACAUCCUUUUACGGGAAGUACAUGACCUUCCAUCUCCCCGCAGGUGUGGGCUGGACCCACAGGACCCAGGCAAAGCCUUUUAGGGUGUAUCAACCAUUUUAAAUCUGCCCUCAAAAGCACAGAACAAAUCAGACGGCAUUUUGCUCACAGAGGAGAGGGUCUAUGAGAACCAAAUUCCAGCUUCAGCACAUGGCCUUGG